rnacentral:rRNA from 1 species
UACGGGGGGGGGCAAGCGUUGUUCGGAAUUACUGGGCGUAAAGGGCGCGUAGGCGGCCUGCUAAGUCGGAUGUGAAAUCCCUCGGCUCAACCGAGGAACUGCAUCCGAUACUGGCGGGCUUGAAUCCGGGAGAGGGAUGUGGAAUUCCAGGUGUAGCGGUGAAAUGCGUAGAUAUCAGGAGGAACACCGAUGGCGAAGGCAGGUCUCUGGGCCGAUACUGACGCUGAGGAGCGAAAGCGUGGGGAGCGAACAGG